rnacentral:rRNA from 1 species
GACGAACGCUGGCGGCGUGCUUAACACAUGCAAGUCACGGGGGCCCGCAAGGGCAACCGGCGAACGGGUGCGUAACACGUGAGCAACCUGCCUAUCUGCGGGGGAUAGCCGGCCCAACGGCCGGGUAAUACCGCAUACGUUCACGAGGGGACAUCCCCUUGUGAGGAAAACUCCGGUGCAGAUAGAGGGGCUCGCGGCCUAUCAGCUAGUUGGUGAGGUAACGGCUCACCAAGGCGACGACGGGUAGCUGGUCUGAGAGGAUGGCCAGCCACAUUGGGACUGCGACACGGCCCAGACUCCUACGGGAGGCAGGCAGUGGGGAAUAUUGCGCAAUGGACGAAAGUCUGACGCAGCGACGCCGCGUGUGGGAUGAAGCUCUUCGGGUGUAAACCACUGUUGCCCGGGAAGAAUCUCCU